rnacentral:lncRNA from 1 species
CCGCCGCCCCCGCCCCCGCCGCUACCUCAGAACUGAACAGUGUUGGCUGCGGGCGAAAGACGAAGACAGUGGGGAGAAAGUGCAGGGAGAAGACAGUGUGGUAGAGAAGACAGUGGAGGAAAACGCUGGGCGUGAUGGCGAGCGCCUGUAAUCCAGCUACUCCAGCGCCUCCAGCCUGGAUGACAGAGCUCUAUUGUGUCACUGAACAUUCCUCGGAAGGUCGUGGGAACAUACAGAGACCUACAGGGAAGACGGCCAUGGGACAAGGGAGGCAGAGUCUGGAGUUACGCUGC